rnacentral:rRNA from 1 species
GGUCUGAGAGGAUGAUCAGUCACACUGGAACUGAGACACGGUCCAGACUCCUACGGGAGGCAGCAGUGGGGAAUAUUGGACAAUGGGCGCAAGCCUGAUCCAGCCAUACCGCGUGGGUGAAGAAGGCCUUCGGGUUGUAAAGCCCUUUUGUUGGGAAAGAAAAGCAUUCGGUUAAUACCCGGGUGUUCUGACGGUACCCAAAGAAUAAGCACCGGCUAACUUCGUGCCAGCAGCCGCGGUAAUA